AAGUCGUAACAAGGUUUCCGUAGGUGAACCUGCGGAAGGAUCAUUAACACGUUCUACGUAUCAACCCUUCGUGCUCUUUGUUUUAUCAGUAGCCUGUUCAGAGAGGAAUUUUCUCAACUAGAAUUAUAGUGGAUUGGAGCUGGGUGAGAGUCUUUUUAAUUAGAGACUUUUCGGCAAUCCGUUAUUGAUUCGUUUUUUUCCCUAAGUGUUUGCCCUUCGGGGUGAGCGUUGGUGGGAGAAAAGGUUGGUCCUUUCGCCUUAGCAACAGGUGUUUCCGUUUCUCUCUCCGAGACGAAAACAUAUUUACUUAAACAAUUUAACCCCUUGUAAACUUUAUUUACUGACUAAUUAUGUCUUGACUUGUGCUUCACGGCCGAGCUCAAAACAUUUAUUACGAAAUGCUGAACAACUCUUAGCAACGGAUAUCUUGGUUCUC
rnacentral:misc_RNA from 1 species